rnacentral:rRNA from 1 species
AGUCAAUAGAUACCCGGGUAGUCCACACCGUAAACGUUGGGCGCUAGGUGUGGGAUCCAUUCCACGGGUUCCGUGCCGCAGCUAAACGCAUUAAGCGCCCCGGCCUGGGGAGUACGGCCGCAAGGCUAAAACUCAAAGGAAUUGACGGGGGUCCCGCACAAGCGGCGGAGCAUGCGGAUUAAAUUCGAUGCAACGCGAAGAACCUUACCUGGGUUUGACAUACGCCGGAAAGCUGCAGAGAUGUGGCCUCUUUUAAGUCGGUGUACAGGUGGUGCAUGGCUGUCGUCAGCUCGUGUCGUGAGAUGUUGGGUUUAAAGUCCCGCAACGAGCGCAACCCUCGGUCCCAUGUUGCCAGCGGCACCUUUCGGGGUGGCUGGGGACUCAUGGGAGACUGCCGGGGUUCAACUCGGAGAACGGUGGGGAUGACGUCAAGUCAUCAUGCCCCGUUAUGUCCAGGGCUUCACGGCAUGCUACAAUGGCCGGUUACAAAGGGUCUGCGAUCCCGGUNAGGGGGUACGCGAAUCCCG